rnacentral:rRNA from 1 species
UAGAGUUUGAUCCUGGCUCAGAUUGAACGCUGGCGGCAUGCCUUACACAUGCAAGUCGAACGGCAGCACGGGAGCUUGCUCCUGGUGGCGAGUGGCGAACGGGUGAGUAAUAUAUCGGAACGUGCCCUAGAGUGGGGGAUAACUAGUCGAAAGAUUAGCUAAUACCGCAUACGAUCUACGGAUGAAAGUGGGGGAUCGCAAGACCUCAUGCUCAUGGAGCGGCCGAUAUCUGAUUAGCUAGUUGGUGGGGUAAAAGCUCACCAAGGCGACGAUCAGUAGCUGGUCUGAGAGGACGACCAGCCACACUGGAACUGAGACACGGUCCAGACUCCUACGGGAGGCAGCAGUGGGGAAUUUUGGACAAUGGGCGCAAGCCUGAUCCAGCAAUGCCGCGUGAGUGAAGAAGGCCUUCGGGUUGUAAAGCUCUUUUGUCAGGGAAGAAACGGUCUUGGUUAAUACCUGGGGCUAAUGACGGUACCUGAAGAAUAAGCACCGGCUAACUACGUGCCAGCAGCCGCGGUAAUACGUAGGGUGCAAGCGUUAAUCGGAAUUACUGGGCGUAAAGCGUGCGCAGGCGGUUAUGCAAGACAGAUGUGAAAUCCCCGGGCUCAACCUGGGAAUUGCAUUUGUGACUGUAUGGCUAGAGUGUGUCAGAGGGGGGUAGAAUUCCACGUGUAGCAGUGAAAUGCGUAGAUAUGUGGAGGAAUACCGAUGGCGAAGGCAGCCCCCUGGGAUAACACUGACGCUCAUGCACGAAAGCGUGGGGAGCAAACAGGAUUAGAUACCCUGGUAGUCCACGCCCUAAACGAUGUCUACUAGUUGUCGGGUCUUAAUUGACUUGGUAACGCAGCUAACGCGUGAAGUAGACCGCCUGGGGAGUACGGUCGCAAGAUUAAAACUCAAAGGAAUUGACGGGGACCCGCACAAGCGGUGGAUGAUGUGGAUUAAUUCGAUGCAACGCGAAAAACCUUACCUACCCUUGACAUGUACGGAAUCCUGAAGAGAUUUAGGAGUGCUCGAAAGAGAACCGUAACACAGGUGCUGCAUGGCUGUCGUCAGCUCGUGUCGUGAGAUGUUGGGUUAAGUCCCGCAACGAGCGCAACCCUUGUCAUUAGUUGCUACGAAAGGGCACUCUAAUGAGACUGCCGGUGACAAACCGGAGGAAGGUGGGGAUGACGUCAAGUCCUCAUGGCCCUUAUGGGUAGGGCUUCACACGUCAUACAAUGGUACAUACAGAGGGCCGCCAACCCGCGAGGGGGAGCUAAUCCCAGAAAGUGUAUCGUAGUCCGGAUUGGAGUCUGCAACUCGACUCCAUGAAGUUGGAAUCGCUAGUAAUCGCGGAUCAGCAUGUCGCGGUGAAUACGUUCCCGGGUCUUGUACACACCGCCCGUCACACCAUGGGAGCGGGUUCUGCCAGAAGUAGUUAGCCUAACCGUAAGGAGGGCGAUUACCACGGCAGGGUUCGUGACUGGGGUGAAGUCGUAACAAGGUANCCGUAUCGGAAGGUGCGGCUGGAUCACCUCC